UCCUCUACCACAUGUUGUUGGGCUUGAUGAAAUACUUACACUUUGAAAGGCAGUGCCACGCUUGUGAUUAAAAUGUCUGUUAAUAUCUCCAGGGUAGCUGUCCAGGGAUAAUAACAAGAGUCCGGAGAAAUGAACCACACACUUCAUUACCCCAAAGUGACUCAUAAACACUCCUGAGCCUCCCUGGGUGUGAAAAGACGUUGAAACUUGCCGACAGGUAGACCUCCUUGGUCCAUCUUCGUGUAUCAGCAGCUGUGUUGCAUUUUAAAAGAAUGGAGAUUUUCUGAGCACUCUGAGAGCAAAUGGGGGCAUCCCAACUCC
ensembl:lncRNA